rnacentral:rRNA from 1 species
GACGAACGCUGGCGGCAUGCCUAAUACAUGCAAGUCGAGCGAACAGAUGAGGUGCUUGCGCUUCUGACGUUAGCGGCGAACGGGUGAGUAACACGUAAGGAAUCUACCUAUAAGCGGGGGAUAACAUUCGGAAACGGGUGCUAAUACCGCAUAAUAUCUUCUUCCGCAUGGAAGAAGAUUGAAAGACGGCUCUGCUGUCACUUAUAGAUGACCUUGCGGUGCAUUAGUUAGUUGGUGGGGUAAUGGCUUACCAAGACGAUGAUGCAUAGCCGACCUGAGAGGGUGAUCGGCCACAUUGGGACUGAGACACGGCCCAAACUCCUACGGGAGGCAGCAGUAGGGAAUCUUCCGCAAUGGGCGAAAGCCUGACGGAGCAAUGCCGCGUGAGUGAAGAAGGCCUUCGGGUCGUAAAACUCUGUUGUAAGAGAAGAACAAAUUGUAGAGUAACUGCUACAGUCUUGACGGUAUCUUAUCAGAAAGCCACGGCUAACUACGUGCCAGCCGCCGCAGUAA